rnacentral:lncRNA from 1 species
GCCCGAGUGUAGCUUAGCCAACCUGACCAUCAUCAGAAAGACACAACUAAAAUAAUAUAUUAUGAAUGAUAAUUCUGAUAGCCAGAUUAGCACCAGACGUGUGGUGUCUCCAAUGAUCAUCUAAACCAUUAGACUCAUUAUCACCCAACUUAAUGGGAAACUAUGAUCUAGUUAUCAUCAUAAUUAUUUUAUUUUUAGGGACCUAAUAAUUUUAGAAGAU